rnacentral:rRNA from 1 species
UACGUAGGGUGCGAGCGUUAAUCGGAAUUACUGGGCGUAAAGCGUGCGCAGGCGGUUCGUGAUGUCUGGUGUGAAAGCCCCGGGCUCAACCUGGGAAUUGCAUUGGAAACUAGCGGGCUGGAGUGUGGCAGAGGGGGGUGGAAUUCCACGUGUAGCAGUGAAAUGCGUAGAGAUGUGGAGGAACACCGAUGGCGAAGGCAGCCCCCUGGGCUAACACUGACGCUCAUGCACGAAAGCGUGGGGAGCAAACAGG